rfam:Gorilla gorilla gorilla genomic chromosome, chr2A, whole genome shotgun sequence
GCUGGGUGCAGUGGCUCACGUCUUUAAUUCCAGCACUUUGAGAAGCUGAGGCGGGUGGAUCACUUGAGGCCAGGUGUUCAAGACCAGCCUCGGCAAUGUGGAGAAACCCUGGCUCUACUAAAAAUACAAAAAUUAGCCAGGAGUGAUGGCAGGCACCUGUAAUCCCAGCUACUCAGGAGNNNNNNNNNNCUCCUGAGUAGCUGGGAUUACAGGUGCCUGCCAUCACUCCUGGCUAAUUUUUGUAUUUUUAGUAGAGCCAGGGUUUCUCCACAUUGCCGAGGCUGGUCUUGAACACCUGGCCUCAAGUGAUCCACCCGCCUC